GACGAACGCUGGCGGCGUGCCUAAUACAUGCAAGUAGAACGCUGAAGGAAGGAGCUUGCUCUUUCCGGAUGAGUUGCGAACGGGUGAGUAACGCGUAGGUAACCUGCCUGGUAGCGGGGGAUAACUAUUGGAAACGAUAGCUAAUACCGCAUAACAGUAGAUAUCGCAUGAUAUGUGCUUAAAAGGUGCAAUUGCACCACUACCAGAUGGACCUGCGUUGUAUUAGCUAGUUGGUGAGGUAACGGCUCACCAAGGCGACGAUACAUAGCCGACCUGAGAGGGUGAUCGGCCACACUGGGACUGAGACACGGCCCAGACUCCUACGGGAGGCAGCAGUAGGGAAUCUUCGGCAAUGGACGGAAGUCUGACCGAGCAACGCCGCGUGAGUGAAGAAGGUUUUCGGAUCGUAAAGCUCUGUUGUAAGAGAAGAACGAGUGUGAGAGUGGAAAGUUCA
rnacentral:rRNA from 1 species